ensembl:lncRNA
AUGUACUGUGCUCUUGAGGGAAAAAACACUAUCUCUAGGCUUGUCCUAUACUAUACUUUGGUUGUAGACUUAAAGGUUUACAAUAUGGAUGAAUUUUACAAGAUCUCGUCCACUGAGAGAGUCCAGCAGUUGGAAAAAGAACUAGCUGUUCAACUGGCAGAGCUGAAGACAGAAAUAGAAGACAAUGGGGUACUGCAGGGAACACCAGAUAGAGCUUACAGCUCUGUUCCGAUACCAAAGGACGCUUCGUAUUUCAGAAAAGAAAGGGAGGUGAUACUGAAGAAAGUUUUACAGGUAGCAGAGGCAAAACCUCUUGUUGUUCAGGCUGCUGUCAUGCAGAGGGAGCUAGAGAGCUGUCUGAGAAGAGAGUAUACAGCAGAAAGCUUACCUCUGUUACUGCACCAGUUUUUUACAGACAGAAUUACCCAUCUGGUCCAGAGUAAAUACUUACACAUGCUUAGAUGGAAGAGAUUUUGUAGGCACAGCAGUGUUAUUGAACAGCUUUAUCCCCUCUAUCAGAAACAAAUUGGUCACAUUAUGCAGGAGUACAACGAUGCUGUUCAGAGGGCUGCGAGACUGUCGGCUGCACGACAGAACUUCCUGACAGGAAAGAAAAAUUCUGUAACUAUAGUGACACAGGAAGACCUGGUUAUUUACAUGCAGUGGUUAGUGUGUCACCUACACUCUCUCAAGGCCAUUCACAGCUAUCUUAGGGUACUCCAGUAUUUGCCUAUCUCUCACAGAAUGGAGGUGGUUAUUGAGAAACACCCUGAGGUGGCCCAGGAUAAUGGGGACAAAUUCAGAAGUGCCACUAUGUCUGAAUCCUUAUCCUCUAAUAUUCACUUCUCCCUUUGCCCCAGCAUUUCAGGAAGAGAGGGACCACACAGCAAGGAUGCUGUAUUCACGCUGCCCCAACACACAACAGAGACUGAAGAAUUGAAACCUCAGCUCCGACUUUUGCUUUCUCACUUUGGUGUCUGCUGUGAUACGGAGAAUCUCAAGAACUCUGCUAAUGAGAUGGAGCUUUUUUCCCUGGUCAUCCGGAAAUUUCGAAGUGUCUUCAGCAAACAGCAGACAAUGAGAACCUUUCCAGUGUAUGAUGCAGGGGUGCCUGGGGCAGAAAACUGGGGUAUUUUAGGACCUAGCAUGGCUUUGAAAAAGAGAGCCAACUGGAUUCCUUUUAUAAAGGUAGAAAUAAGUGAUUUAUUUUUCCCUUUUUGCUCUGUUGAUAAACUAUUGUAACUGCAAUUCAGAAUGUAGUAAGACGCUUUCCAGCCAUUUACUUUUAAAAUGACCCAGUAAUGACCCAUUUUUAUUUGUUUUGAAAAUUCCAAAACCAUGUCUAACUACUGUCAUAUACACGGGGUCUAUUUCUGAUUUCACUUCAGGCAAAAAAGUGAAUUAAAAUGAAUGUAAUGCAUAUACUUUAUUGUGUAUAUUGGCUUCUAUUCACAUACAACAUUUAAGUCCUAUUUAUAAAUUUUGCCCUGGCUUGUCUGUCAACCAGAUUAAGCCCAAACAAGAUCCCUGGCAGCAAAAGCUUUUGGCAAAACUGAAACAAUGGAAAAAAGUGGAUGAACUAUUGCAUCUUCAAUCAAAGUUUUUAGAGGUGAGUAAAUAGACUAUUUUAAAUAUAUUCUAUUUAUUUACCGAGUACUCUCAGGGA